GAUGAACGCUGGCGGCGUGCCUAAUACAUGCAAGUCGAGCGAACAGACGAGGAGCUUGCUCCUCUGACGUUAGCGGCGGACGGGUGAGUAACACGUGUAUCACCUACCUAUCAUACUGAGAUAACUUCGAGAAACCGGAGCUAAUACCGGAUAAUAUACUGAACCGCAUGGUUCGAUAGUGAAAGACGGUUUUGCUGUCACUUAUCGCUGGAUCCGCGCCGCAUGAGCUGGUUGUUAAGGUAACGGCUUACCAAGGCAACGAUGCGUAGCCGACGUGUGAGGCGGGUCGCCGGCCUGGGAGCGUAGCCACGGUCCAGACGCCUAAGGGAGGGAGCAGUAGGCAACCGGCGGCAACAGGCGAAAGCCUGGCGGAGUAAGGCCGCGUGAGUGACAAAGGCCUUCGGAUCGUAAAGCUCUGUUACUAGGGAAGAACAAAUUUGUCAGGAAAUAUGCCCGGCGUGACGGUACCUAAUCAGAAAGCCACGGCUAACUACGUG
rnacentral:rRNA from 1 species